rnacentral:rRNA from 1 species
CAUGUCUUUUUGAAAAUAAUUUAAGGUCUAAUCUGCCCGCUGAGGAUUUGAAUGGCCGCGGUAUUUUGACCGUGCAAAGGUAGCAUAAUCAUUAGUUUUUUGAUUGAAAGCUGGUAUGAAUGAUUGGACGAGAAAAUUUCUGUCUCUGAUUAAUUUUUUUAUAAAAUUUAACUUUUGAGUUAAAAGGCUCAAAUAGAUUUGAAAGACGAGAAGACCCUAUAGAGUUUUAUUUGUUUAAUUUGAUUUUAAAGUGAAGUAUUGCUAUUUUUUUCUUUUUAAGUAAGUUUUGUUGGGGUGAUGGGAAGAUUAAUUAAACUCUUUUUAUUUAUUUUACAAUUAUUUUUGGUUUAUUGAUCCAAUUUUUUUGAUUAAAAGUUUAAAUUACCUUAGGGAUAACAGCGUAAUUUUUAUAGAGAGUUCUUAUCGAAAUAAAAGAUUGCGACCUCGAUGUUGGAUUAAAGUUAAUUUUUAGUGCAGAAGCUUUGAAUAUUAGGUCUGUUCGACCUUUAAAACUUUACAUGAUCUGAGU